AACGCACGAGACCUGCGGACCUGCGGAGGGAUCAUUAUAGAAAACUCAUCAACACAGAAGUGGUGGGAGAUAGAGGAGGGGGAGAGAGGGAUCUCUUUCUCUCUCUCUCUUUCUCUUGUCAUUUCUGAACAAACAAACAUACAUGACUAAGGAAAUCAGAGAUUGGGAUGAUGAGAGAUUUGACUUGGAUUGGAUAUGAAAUAUCUCUCAUAAAAGUUCUUGUCUGAUAAGUAGCCUAUG
rnacentral:misc_RNA from 1 species